GACGAAGUACUUGUACUUCUGACGUUAGCGGCGAACGGGUGAGUAACACGUAAGGAAUCUACCUAUAAGCGGGGGAUAACAUUCGGAAACGGAUGCUAAUACCGCAUAAUACAUAUUUCCGCAUGGAAAUACGUUGAAAGACGGCUCUGCUGUCACUUAUAGAUGACCUUGCGGUGCAUUAGUUAGUUGGUGGGGUAAUGGCCUACCAAGACGAUGAUGCAUAGCCGACCUGAGAGGGUGAUCGGCCACAUUG
rnacentral:rRNA from 1 species